rnacentral:rRNA from 1 species
CUACGGGUUGCUCCAGUGAGGAAUAUUGCACAAUGGGGGAAACCAUGAUGCAGCAACGCCGCGUGGAGGAUGACGCAUUUCGGUGUGUAAACUCCUUUUAUGAGUCAAGAAAAUGACGGUAGCUCAUGAAUAAGCACCGGCUAACUCCGUGCCAGCAGCCGCGGUAAUACGGAGGGUGCAAGCGUUACUCGGAAUCACUGGGCGUAAAGGACGCGUAGGCGGGUUGGAAAGUCAGGUGUGAAAUCCUACAGCUUAACUGUAGAACUGCACUUGAAACUUCUAACCUAGAGUAUGGGUGGGGGAGAUGGAAUUAGUGGUGUAGGGGUAAAAUCCGUAGAUAUCACUAGGAAUACCGAAAGCGAAGGCGAUCUCCUGGAACAUUACUGACGCUAAGGCGUGAAAGCGUGGGGAGCAAACGGGAUUAGAUACCCCGGUAGUC